rnacentral:rRNA from 1 species
GUCUACGGCCAUACCACGUUGAAAACACUAGUUCUCGUCCGAUCACUGAAGUUAAGCAACGUCGGGCUCGGUUAGCACUUGGAUGGGUGACCGCCUGGGAACACCGAGUGCUGUAGACGCCC